rnacentral:rRNA from 1 species
CCUACGGGAGGCAGCAGUAAGGAAUAUUGGUCAAUGGAGGCAACUCUGAACCAGCCAUGCCGCGUGCAGGAAGACGGCCCUAUGGGUUGUAAACUGCUUUUGAACUAGAGAAAACCUUGGUACGUGUACCGAGUUGAUAGUAUAGUUAGAAUAGGCAUCGGCUAACUUCGUGCCAGCAGCCGCGGUAAGACGAAGGAUGCAAGCGUUAUCCGGAUUCAUUGGGUUUAAAGGGUGCGUAGGCGGACUGAUAAGUCAGUGGUGAAAUCUCUCAGCUUAACUGAGAAACUGCCAUUGAUACUGUUAGUCUAGAGUACAGAUGAUGUGGGCGGAAUAUGACAUGUAGUGGUGAAAUACUUAGAUAUGUCAUAGAACACCGAUUGCGAAGGCAGCUCACAAAACUGUAACUGACGCUGAGGCACGAAAGUGCGGGGAUCAAACAGGAUUAGAUACCCUGGUAGUCCGCACCGUAAACGAUGAUUACUCGUUGUUGGCGAUAUGACAGUCAGCGACCAAGCGAAAGCGAUAAGAAUCCACCUGGGAGUACGCCGGNACGGUUGAACGUUAAGGAAUUGACGGCGNGAGAGNGCGAGGACGACACGAGGGGAGGAGG